GUCCAGGCCAACAUCGGUUCUGGGGGUUGGUUAAAGGCUCUGGAAAUGUACCUACCCUUCGGGCGUAGACUUAUAGCCCAGAGUGUCAUGCGACCUCCCGGGACCGAGGAACGCGCUUCGGCUCGGAUGUUGGCGUAAUGGUUGUCAGCGA
rnacentral:rRNA from 1 species